CCCCCCUCAAGGUGGAGGGGAGAGAAUGGACCCCCAGCUUGGACAAAAAUCUCCGAUGAGAACCCCCAGAUAAGGGUUUGGUAAAUAGAUCGGCGAGCUGAGAUUCUGACGGAACAAAUGAGAGAGAGAUCAAUCCGGACAGAAAUUGUUGACGAACAAAGUGACAAUCCAACUCCACAUGUUUGGUUCGUUCAUGAAAAACUGGGUUACGAGCUAUGUGAAUGGCGGCUUGGCUAUCCGAGUGUACAUGCACUGGUAAAGUGGGUGGUGCUGAUAGAUCUGCAAGCAAUCAGACUAACCAGGUGAUUUCUGCGGUCACCCUUCUCAUAGAUCUGUAUUCCGCUUCUGCGGAGGACAUAGAGACUGAGAUUUGUUUCUUCGACUUCCAAGAGAUCGGAGCUCCACCAAGUGUGAUGAAGAAUCCACUAACAGACCGGCGAGAAUCUCUACAAGCCGCCCAGUCUGCAUCACAAAAAGCGAGUAGAUCAAAGGAGGGAUGUGCAGUAAGAAAGAUCCCUUGAGAAGGGUCAGUGCGCAAAUAGCGGAGGACACGCAAAGCUGCAGAAUAAUGAGACAUGCAAGGGCGUUGCAUAUACUGGCUCAAACAGAGGACAGCGAAACAGAGGUCCGGCCUAGUAUUUGUUAAGUAGUUGAGCUUUCCAACGAGAUGGCGAUAAAUGGUAGGAUCAGGCAUAGGC
rnacentral:lncRNA from 1 species